GGUACUGCCUGCCCAGUGAAAACUUAUUUUAACGGCCGCGGUAUCAUAACCGUGCAAAGGUAGCGUAAUCACUUGUCUUCUAAAUAAAGACCAGUAUGAACGGCUAAAUGAGAAUGAACCUGUCUCCUAUGUCUAAUCAGUGAAACUGAUCUCUCAGUACAAAAGCUGAGAUAUGUCCAUAAGACGAGAAGACCCUGUGGAGCUUCAAACCAAUGCUACCAAGCACAGAAUACCUGCUCCUAACCAAAGGUUUUAAGUUGGGGCGACUUUGGAAUAAAAAAGAACUUCCAAGCACAGGGCCAAACCCCCCACCGAGGCCAACAAGCCAAGGCUAGAAACGACCCAGUAUAACUGAUAAACGAACCAAGUUACCCCAGGGAUAACAGCGCUAUCUUCUUCAAGAGUCCAUAUCGACAAGAAGGUUUACGACCUCGAUGUUGGAUCAGGACACCCAGAUGGUGCAGCCGCUAUUAAAGGUUCGUUUGUUCAACGAUU
rnacentral:rRNA from 1 species